CCUGGUGACAAUUGCGGAGGGGUCCCACCCGUUCCCAUUCCGAACACGGAAGUUAAGCCCUCCUGCGCCGAUGGUACUGCCAAACGGUGGGAGAGUAGGUCGUCGCCAGGC
rfam:Sediminispirochaeta smaragdinae DSM 11293 chromosome, complete genome.